rnacentral:rRNA from 1 species
UACGUAGGGGGCAAGCGUUGUCCGGAAUCAUUGGGCGUAAAGCGCGUGUAGGCGGCCCGAUAAGUCCGCUGUGAAAGUCCAGGGCUCAACCCUGGGAUGCCGGUGGAUACUGUCGGGCUCGAGUCCGGAAGAGGCGAGUGGAAUUCCUGGUGUAGCGGUGAAAUGCGCAGAUAUCAGGAGGAACACCAAUGGCGAAGGCAGCUCGCUGGGACGUGACUGACGCUGAGACGCGAAAGCAUGGGGAGCGAACAGG